UACGGGGGGGGCAAGCGUUGUUCGGAAUUACUGGGCGUAAAGGGUCUGUAGGUGGCCAACUAAGUCAGACGUGAAAUCCCUCAGCUUAACUGGGGAACUGCGUCUGAUACUGGAUGGCUUGAGUGCAGGAGAGGAACGCGGAAUUCCAGGUGUAGCGGUGAAAUGCGUAGAUAUCUGGAGGAACACCGAUUGCGAAGGCAGCUCGCUGGAACGUAACUGACGCUGAGACGCGAAAGCGUGGGGAGCAAACAGG
rnacentral:rRNA from 1 species